rnacentral:lncRNA from 1 species
CUCAGCACACCGUACUCAUGAGGCCCAGGCUCUAAUACCAAUUGUAACAUCCUCUGGGCCCACAACAGUAGAUAUUGUCCGCUAUUGUAACAUCCUCUGGGCCCACAACAGUAGAUAUUGUCCGCUUUGGAUUCGAGGGCCUUGGCCCAGCCUUCCCCUCACGGUUUUGUUUCUAAGGGUUCACGCCCAGCGUCCUUCCCCCGCAUCCUUCCCCUCAAAACGCGUCUACUGUGGUCUCUUGGGGCUUGCCCUUAUAAGGCCUCCCCCCUCCCUACCUCUUUCCGAUGUGGGAUACUUUCAAUCCACCUGCUUAGGGCUUCUACCCCCCUUACAGGCCUGAGCGUCCUCGCUCAGCACACCGUACUCAUGAGGCCCAGGCUCUGAUACCAAUUGUAACAUCCUCUGGGCCCACAACAGUAGAUAUUGUCCGCUUUGGGUUCGAGGGCCUUGGCCCAGCCUUCCCCUCACGGUUUAUUUUCUAAGGGUUCACGCCCAGGGUUCACGCCCAGCGUCCUUCCCCCGCAUCCUUCCCCUCAAAACGCGUCUACUGUGGUCU